rnacentral:rRNA from 1 species
AUUAGAGGAAGUAAAAGUCGUAACAAGGUUUCCGUAGGUGAACCUGCGGAAGGAUCAUUAAAGAGUAAGGGUGCUCAGCGCCCGACCUCCAACCCUUUGUUGUUAAAACUACCUUGUUGCUUUGGCGGGACCGCUCGGUCUCGAGCCGCUGGGGAUUCGUCCCAGGCGAGCGCCCGCCAGAGUUAAACCAAACUCUUGUUAUUUAACCGGUCGUCUGAGUUAAAAUUUUGAAUAAAUCAAAACUUUCAACAACGGAUCUCUUGGUUCUCGCAUCGAUGAAGAACGCAGCGAAAUGCGAUAAGUAAUGUGAAUUGCAGAAUUCAGUGAAUCAUCGAAUCUUUGAACGCACAUUGCGCCCCUUGGUAUUCCGAGGGGCAUGCCUGUUCGAGCGUCAUUACACCACUCAAGCUAUGCUUGGUAUUGGGCGUCGUCCUUAGUUGGGCGCGCCUUAAAGACCUCGGCGAGGCCACUCCGGCUUUAGGCGUAGUAGAAUUUAUUCGAACGUCUGUCAAAGGAGAGGAACUCUGCCGACUGAAACCUUUAUUUUUCUAGGUUGACCUCGGAUCAGGUAGGGAUACCCGCUGAACUUAAGCAUAUCAAUA